GGGGGCGACAGGCAUCGACCGGGUCGACCGAGACAUGGGUGGCGUGCAGAGGUUCCACGGAGGCCUCUCAAAACACCGUGGGCAUUUUAGUUGCCAACAGCAACUUCGCUCUCGCGGCUUAAUUGUCGCGCGCCGACGUUGACCCUGUCCGCGGGUCUUCGAAGGCGACCAAUUUGCGGACUGGCUCGCGCACUCCCGUCUGUGACGAGGCGAGCGAGAAUCGAACAGACUGGUUCUGAUCCGAUCCUGUCGGUUGGAGCGGAACAGAACGAGAAAUCAUAGACCGACUACGCACGUAGAUGUUCAUGCCAAGGGGCUACGGGACGGGGGUUCGAUUCCCCCCGCCUCCAUGG
rnacentral:tmRNA from 1 species